rnacentral:rRNA from 1 species
UUCGAAGCGGGACAGAUGGGAGCUUGCUCCCUGAUGUUAGCGGCGGACGGGUGAGUAACACGUGGGUAACCUGCCUGUAAGACUGGGAUAACUCCGGGAAACCGGGGCUAAUACCGGAUGGUUGUUUGAACCGCAUGGUUCAGACAUAAAAGGUGGCUUCGGCUACCACUUACAGAUGGACCCGCGGCGCAUUAGCUAGUUGGUGAGGUAACGGCUCACCAAGGCGACGAUGCGUAGCCGACCUGAGAGGGUGAUCGGCCACACUGGGACUGAGACACGGCCCAGACUCCUACGGGAGGCAGCAGUAGGGAAUCUUCCGCAAUGGACGAAAGUCUGACGGAGCAACGCCGCGUGAGUGAUGAAGGUUUUCGGAUCGUAAAGCUCUGUUGUUAGGGAAGAACAAGUGCCGUUCAAAUAGGGCGGCACCUUGACGGUACCUAACCAGAAA